GACGAACGCUGGCGGCGUGCUUAACACAUGCAAGUCGAACGGGCCCGCUCUCUUUUUUGGGGGUGGGUUGAGUGGCGAACGGGUGAGUAUCACGUGAGUAACCUGCCCCCUGCUCCUGGAUAACUGCUUGAAAGGGCGGCUAAUACGGGGUGUGCCGGCUGGUCCGCUUGGGCCUGGUCGGGAUAGUUUCAUCUUCGGGUGUUUCGGUGGGGGAUGGGCUCGCGGCCUAUCAGCUUGUUGGUGGGGUGAUGGCCCACCAAGGCGGUGACGGGUAGCCGGCCUGAGAGGGUGGGCGGCCACACUGGGACUGAGACACGGCCCAGACUCCUGCGGGAGGCAGCAGUGGGGGGUAUUGCACAAUGGGCGGAAGCCUGAUGCAGCGACGUCGCGUGAGGGAUGGAGGCCUUCGGGUGGUGAACCUCUUUCUCCGGUGGUGAAGGCCCUGUCCGUUGCGGCGGGGUUGACGGUAGCCGGGUAUGAAGCGCCGGCUAACUACGUG
rnacentral:rRNA from 1 species